AACGCUAGCUACAGGCUUAACACAUGCAAGUCGAGGGGCAGCAUGGUCUUAGCUUGCUAAGGCCGAUGGCGACCGGCGCACGGGUGAGUAACACGUAUCCAACCUGCCGUCUACUCCUGGACAGCCUUCUGAAAGGAAGAUUAAUACAAGAUGGCAUCAUGAGUCCGCAUGUUCACAUGAUUAAAGGUAUUCCGGUAGACGAUGGGGAUGCGUUCCAUUAGAUAGUAGGCGGGGUAACGGCCCACCUAGUCUUCGAUGGAUAGGGGUUCUGAGAGGAAGGUCCCCCACAUUGGAACUGAGACACGGUCCAAACUCCUACGGGAGGCAGCAGUGAGGAAUAUUGGUCAAUGGGCGAGAGCCUGAACCAGCCAAGUAGCGUGAAGGAUGACUGCCCUAUGGGUUGUAAACUUCUUUUAUAAAGGAAUAAAGUCGGGUAUGGAUACCCGUUUGCAUGUACUUUAUGAAUAAGGAUCGGCUAACUCCGUGCCAGCAGCCGCGGUAAUACGGAGGAUCCGAGCGUUAUCCGGAUUUAUUGGGUUUAAAGGGAGCGUAGAUGGAUGUUUAAGUCAGUUGUGAAAGUUUGCGGCUCAACCGUAAAAUUGCAGUUGAUACUGGAUAUCUUGAGUGCAGUUGAGGCAGGCGGAAUUCGUGGUGUAGCGGUGAAAUGCUUAGAUAUCACGAAGAACUCCGAUUG
rnacentral:rRNA from 1 species